rnacentral:sRNA from 2 species
AAAAUUCUCAGUUAGGUGAGGUUCCUGCAUAAACAUAGGCCACUGCCCCGAAAUGUCGAGAGACGCCAAGGGGUAGAACAGGUAUUACCGGCAUAAGGUUUUACUUAAGGUGGCUGAGGUUACUCUACGUUAUGCAGUGCUAAAGCUCAACGAGUUAGAGAAGGUU